rnacentral:rRNA from 1 species
GAUGAACGCUGGCGGCGUGCCUAAUACAUGCAAGUCGAGCGAACAGACAAGGAGCUUGCUCCUCUGACGUUAGCGGCGGACGGGUGAGUAACACGUGGAUAACCUACCUAUAAGACUGGGAUAACUUCGGGAAACCGGAGCUAAUACCGGAUAAUAUAUUGAACCGCAUGGUUCAAUAGUGAAAGACGGUUUUGCUGUCACUUAUAGAUGGAUCCGCGCCCAUUAGCUAGUUGGUAAGGUAACGGCUUACCAAGGCAACGAUGCGUAGCCGACCUGAGAGGGUGAUCGGCCACACUGGAACUGAGACACGGUCCAGACUCCUACGGGAGGCAGCAGUAGGGAACCUUCCGCAAUGGGCGAAAGCCUGACGGAGCAACGCCGCGUGAGUGAUGAAGGUCUUCGGAUCGUAAAACUCUGUUAUUAGGGAAGAACAAAUGUGUAAGUAACUAUGCACGUCUUGACGGUACCUAAUCAGAAAGCCACGGCUAACUACGUG